rnacentral:rRNA from 2 species
CCCCGGUAAACGGCGGCCGUAACUAUAACGGUCCUAAGGUAGCGAAAUUCCUUGUCGGGUAAGUUCCGACCUGCACGAAUGGCGUAAUGAUGGCCAGGCUGUCUCCACCCGAGACUCAGUGAAAUUGAACUCGCUGUGAAGAUGCAGUGUACCCGCGGCAAGACGGAAAGACCCCGUGAACCUUUACUAUAGCUUGACACUGAACAUUGAGCCUUGAUGUGUAGGAUAGGUGGGAGGCUUUGAAGUGUGGACGCCAGUCUGCAUGGAGCCGACCUUGAAAUACCACCCUUUAAUGUUUGAUGUUCUAACGUGGACCCGUAAUCCGGGUUGCGGACAGUGUCUGGUGGGUAGUUUGACUGGGGCGGUCUCCUCCUAAAGAGUAACGGAGGAGCACGAAGGUUGGCUAAUCCUGGUCGGACAUCAGGAGGUUAGUGCAAUGGCAUAAGCCAGCUUGACUGCGAGCGUGACGGCGCGAGCAGGUGCGAAAGCAGGUCAUAGUGAUCCGGUGGUUCUGAAUGGAAGGGCCAUCGCUCAACGGAUAAAAGGUACUCCGGGGAUAACAGGCUGAUACCGCCCAAGAGUUCAUAUCGACGGCGGUGUUUGGCACCUCGAUGUCGGCUCAUCACAUCCUGGGGCUGAAGUAGGUCCCAAGGGUAUGGCUGUUCGCCAUUUAAAGUGGUACGCGAGCUGGGUUUAGAACGUCGUGAGACAGUUCGGUCCCUAUCUGCCGUGGGCGCUGGAGAACUGAGGGGGGCUGCUCCUAGUACGAGAGGACCGGAGUGGACGCAUCACUGGUGUUCGGGUUGUCAUGCCAAUGGCACUGCCCGGUAGCUAAAUGCGGAAGAGAUAAGUGCUGAAAGCAUCUAAGCACGAAACUUGCCCCGAGAUGAGUUCUCCCUGAGACUUAGAGUCUCCUGAAGGAACGUUGAAGACGACGACGUUGAUAGGCCGGGUGUGUAAGCGCAGCGAUGCGUUGAGCUAACCGGUACUAAUGAACCGUGAGGCUUAA